rnacentral:rRNA from 1 species
AUUGAACGCUGGCGGCAUGCUUUACACAUGCAAGUCGAACGGUAACAGGGAGCUUGCUCCGCUGACGAGUGGCGAACGGGUGAGUAAUGCAUCGGAACGUACCCAGUCGUGGGGGAUAACGUAGCGAAAGUUACGCUAAUACCGCAUACGUCCUGAGGGAGAAAGCGGGGGACCGUAAGGCCUCGCGCGAUUGGAGCGGCCGAUGUCGGAUUAGCUAGUUGGUGGGGUAAAGGCCUACCAAGGCAACGAUCCGUAGCGGGUCUGAGAGGAUGAUCCGCCACACUGGGACUGAGACACGGCCCAGACUCCUACGGGAGGCAGCAGUGGGGAA